rnacentral:rRNA from 1 species
GGCAGUGUUCGGUACACUCAUAGCGUAGUAAUUCUUCUCGCUUCUGCAGUGGCCCGUACGAUUCGCCGUAAAACCCCUAAUUUUCUAAUGGUUGACCUCGGA